rnacentral:rRNA from 1 species
AUUGAACGUUGGCGGCAUGCCUUACACAUGCAAGUCGAACGGUAACAGGUCUUCGGAUGCUGACGUGUGGCGAACGGGUGAGUAAUACAUCGGAACGUGCCCGAGAGUGGGGGAUAACGAGGCGAAAGCUUUGCUAAUACCGCAUACGAUCUCAGGAUGAAAGCAGGGGACCGCAAGGCCUUGCGCUCACGGAGCGGCCGAUGGCAGAUUAGGUAGUUGGUGGGAUAAAAGCUUACCAAGCCGACGAUCUGUAGCGGGUCUGAGAGGACGACCAGCCACACUGGGACUGAGACACGGCCCAGACUCCUACGGGAGGCAGCAGUGGGGAAUUUUGGACAAUGGGCGCAAGCCUGAUCCAGCCAUGCCGCGUGCAGGAUGAAGGCCUUCGGGUUGUAAACUGCUUUUGUACGGAACGAAAAGACUCCUUCUAAUAAAGGGGGUCCAUGACGGUACCGUAAGAAUAAGCACCGGCUAACUACGUGCCAGCAGCCGCCGCCGUAA